UAGAGAGAAUGGCUUUUCUUACGGGGCGGCGAAAGGUUAUUACAGCUGAGAAGCAGUGGAUGGGAGAAAUUGAGUGUUUGGUCUUAAGGAGGGGAUCAAAAACCACUCCUUUAGACCGGAAGAUCUGGGCUGCUGCUUUGACACUGAUAGACGUAAACAGUGCCCAGUUCGGAUUAAAGUUCUACAGCGACAGAACUUUGCGCCGAGGAGCUGGAUUGACAGCAGAUCGCCCCCCCCCCCCGCAAUGGACCUCGAAGGAGCUUGAGGAAGUAUCCAUGUUCUUCCUUCUUUUAUCCCAACACCAACCCUAUAAGGAGUCCCAGAGGAGCAUCCUGACGGAAGAGGCCAUGGGACACAUUCAUGCAUCCUCUACAGGCAGGAAAAAUGAGAAUUCCAAUGUUCAAAAGACCAUUUUCGAAGUUGCCCCGCUAAGCAAGUUCCCCACAUAGUAGAAGAAUAUGCCAAACUCCAUAGAAACAUAUAGAAAAGGAAAAGAAAAGUGGACAUGUGUUUAAUUUGAUUUACCAAUUCAGGAAAUCUCAGAAACUUCUUCAAACAUUCACGCAAGCAAGUCUACAGGAGUUGCUAGUCCACAAGAAGUUUGAAUAGUCUCCCUGUGUUACUAACCUGUAGCAUGUCAGUCACCUGAAAGACAGACAGAACCAUCUCUCUUCCAAUUUAUAUUGUUAUUAUCACUAUUCAAGAGAUUUAGAUUUAAAAAAAAAACAUUGUAGAUCACAUGUGGUUUUCUACUGGUGACAGACACCUGUGAAGUGCUUACUGCAAAAUGGGAAAAACAUGGCUUGGAAUAUGACUGUAUAUUCUGCUUUAAUAAUGCUUAUCCAGCUCUCAGAGAAUGUUGUUAAGUCAAGUUCUCAUUCAUUGAUCCAGGCUUGGUUAAUACGCCUUACCUUUUUCAUUUUCAGCCAUAUAUAGGAUCCCCCCUUGUCUGUCCUGCCCAAACCAUAUAUUCAGUCUUUCUUGGUGUUCUUCUUAGCCUCCAGCAACUUUUAUAUACCAACUUUGCUUAAAAUGGUGGAUGCAUAAUAAUUCCAUUCUUUUAUAUACAUAACUAAACUAAUGCUACGUAUAGAUUACUGCUAGUAUUGCUGCUGUGUUUCGUAUUCAUACCCAGCAAGCCGGACAUUUCACAUCUUUCCUAAUUCCAUUGUUGUUUUCUCAUAAAUGAUGUUUAAUAUCA